AUGUACGCCCCUUCCACAGAAAACUUGUUAAUCUUUCCGUCAGCUCUGCAUGCUUUGCAUACCUCUGGGAAAAUGUGGUGUUUGACUCUCUUGCCAGAUCUUGCAAUGAUAGAAGUGCUAUUAGCAGGUGAAAGCUACAUGGAAGCGUUUUAUCUUUCCUUCACCUUCAAGGCCUUGAGGAGUUAUAAUAUUCAGAUGAAGAAUGGAGAAGUCACCCUCUGGCCCAGCACCCCCGGCCCCAGGACAUGGGAGGACACCUUCCUCACCUUGCUAGCUUCCAAGUCUGGAGCCCCUGGUGCAGGGAAGCAGCUCGGUGUUCAAGGUUCAGAGCGUUUUCAUGGACAAGUGGGGUCACUGGCAAAGCUUGCAGCCAAACCAUGAAAGUUUUUCAAUCGACUUCAACACAACAUUUACUCUGCUCUGACGAACAAAGCAAACAUUCAGUUAACUACUGACAUGCAGCUUCUGGUCCUAAUAUUAAAUCUUUGUUUUGUUCUCUCUUUUUGUACCUUUACCAAAAAGUAGUAAAUCAUUUCAUGGGGUAACCUGACUUUCCUUCUCUUCCUGUGUCUUUCAAGAAAGUGCCUUCUAAGGUAGAGCUGCAGUUUGCAGAAAAGCCCAGGCACAACCAACAAGCAAGACCUAGUUAGAGCAAUCGGUGAUUUCAGGCUCCCUCCUCAUCCCAAGUGGCUCUGGCAGUUUCCUUUUAGUCUUUAACAUUGCUCAUAUUAUUUACACAGCUGCUCCAGUAACUUUUUCUUGUUAUAUAUUUAUUUCUUACUAGUUGUGUUUUUUUAAUAUUAUGUAUAUAUUAAAUUUUUUCUCCCUUUAGAUUUUAGAACAGCAUCAGUUUAUGUUUACUGCCUUAAAAUGUGGUUUGCUUGUAAUUAAAAACACAAAUCUAACAGUGCCUAGAUUUAAGGGUGACCUGUGUUUAUUAAUGGGAUGCAAGGGCAGGGUUUGAAAGCUGGGCUCUAUCAUUUCAACAUCCACAAUCAGUUUUUAAGGUUUUUCUAUUAUUAUUAUUUCAAGGUCUAGGUGUCUAAAAUUAUAUCAUUUUUCUCACUUUUUUUAUUUGCUAGCUGCUUUCUAAAAAAAAUGCAGCUGCACAUGUUAUAGCUGUGUGUCCGUAUGCCCACUGGAUUUACAUGCACAAUUACCCCAAUGGCACACAGCCCUCAGAAGCCUGCACAUGCAAAAAGCCUGCUAGCUGUAAAACUGUUGGCAUGGAUGCUCGAUUUCCAUAUGCAGUCACAAUGAAUAUGCAUGUACAUUAGGUGCACAAGAGCACACAUUUCUGAAACCGGAGGCCUCAAUGUGAAACUAAAGAAGAAAGGACAAACGCUUUGGAGGAGGGUUUUAGGUCAAAUUCAGUGCUAACAGUUAGCAGGCAUAAAUCUGCCGGAUUGUACUCACGUGUCUUAUAUCAGUGCAACUCAUUUUCUUCAAUUAGAUGUAGGAAAAUGCUGUGGAUUUAUUGUUUUCUUAUUUUUGCCUUUACAUCUUUUGUAUGUUUAUAAUUUUCCUUAGUUUUCCUUUUCUGAUUUUAAUAGAUGAAAAACAGCCCAUUGUAUUUUUUUUUUUUUCCCCAGGCUCCUCAGGUUAACAGAAAAACAGUUUCUGGGUACUAGCACGCUUGAAAAUUAGCAACUAGAGACUGUAAACAUAGACUUAGGUGUCUGAAUUUAGGCACCAAUUUUUUAAAACCUUGGCUUAGAAAAUAAAAUAACUGAAUGUAUAUAGAUAAUAUAAAUCACCAGUCACUUUUAUUACAUGUAUGUUUAUAUAAAGACCUUAGAACACGUUUUAAAAAAUGUAAACAUUCCUUAGUAUGUUUAACUAUGUGUCUAAAGAAGAUGUAGGACAGAAAGAAAACAAAAGUUUGACGAAUGUUUCUGAUCAAUCCUGAAGAAAUCAAUAGGAAUUCACUCACAGCAUGAUUUCAUUUAACUUUCCAUGCUAGGAAUAGUAACCUGGCUUUCUGUUAAAGCUAAAGCAUUCCUACUUCUUAGUGAUUUAAUUCUCAUGUCAACAUAUAUCAGCCAGGCAGAGAAUGGCUCGGAGCUGGGGAAGGGGAGGAAUGGAUGGAAACAUGCAGAAAUUGUGUGGACUGAGUUGUAUGGUUGAGUGACUUUGUUUCACCAAAACUGGUUUCUAAUAGAAAAUAGCAGUUUCAUUGUGAUGCACGCUUCUCUUCCCUUUUGAGGUUGCCAAAAGUGUCUGCUUUUUAGAGCAUGGUUUAUUGCUUAUUUGGAAAAUAUGUAACACCUGAAAAUCAGAACAGCUUGGUAGAGAAAAAAAACACAACACAUUGAGUUGCAAGCACUGCUGUGGUGCGUUCUUAGAAGCCCCAGCCUGGGUGCCCCCCUCCCUGUCAGCCACACACACAUCAAAAUUCCUAGAAUUAUGGCAUCUCCAUCUUACUCAAUGUUAAGAGGGGAGAUGAGCCCAGAGAACAAGAGGCUUGUGGCAUGCAAAGCAUAGUACUUGUGGAUGAGUCCAAUUUCUUGAUUUUUUUUUUUGCCAAAAAGAAAAAAUGUUUGUCAGUAACACAUCUCAGAAUUUUGCUUUGGAAAUAUAAACUUUCCCUUUUCUCACAAGAAUUCUAAGUAUUCAAUGAAGAAAACCACCACUCCCCACAAAGCAAGGUAAAGCUGUUAGCACUGCAGGCUCCUAAGUCAAACUUCUGCUCCUUAGCAGACCAGAACCUUACAUGGUGUAUGGGAACCAAUGGAGCAUUCAAACCCAGAACAUCUGGUUUGCAACAUUUUGUUCAUUUGUCCAUGUUUGUGCUCCUGAAUGCGUGCGCAGUUGGGUCCAUAAGUGUGAGUGCAUGCCUGUUAUUUAUUCUAAAUAUAAUCAUUUUUCUGAAAGAACAUUAUUCAUACUGAGAUUAAAGAACGCUAUCCUUCAUAGGCCUUUGGCUCAAAACCUCGAGCCUGACACUUAGCACUAUAAAGGACUACACCAAAGUGUGGAAACAGUUCUCCAAAUACUGAGAAAUAGUCCAAGCUCAGGUUGGUCCACUACAAGAAAUUAUGGAUAAUGAAAAAGAUCCCAGCUCUGCUGCUCCAUUGAAUGCCCAGUUAUACAUAAAGCAGAUGCCCUUUUUAAAGUAUGGGACAUGUAGGCUAAGAAACUUAUAUCAGCUAGUGACACCUGAAAGUGACCUUGCUUUGCAAUACAUGUUUUUGUCUUGUCUACACACAAAAUUAUGCAUGUGCACACACUCUGUGGCUGAAACAAUGAUUUAUUCUGAAUUCUUCCAUCAGUCUCCAGAUUUGACUGACCGUGGAAUUCAUACAGAACAGAUGAAAAACAUUUUACUUUUAGGCAAAACUGUUGAGUGAGUCUGCAAAAGGAAACACCAUAAAAGCCAGUUUCAGUCCAACAAGCUAAGGAGGCUCUAUGAUCUUUAUUUUCAGUUAUUUUUGUGGGCAAGAUAUGAAGCAAAAUAGCUGUGUCUGUUUAGCUGCCUGAACAAUAGAAAAGUUUAUGCAGCUCUUGAGCUGAAAUGUUUUUGACAGUUUUCAAUUUUAGCUCUUUUGAUUUUGUAAGAAAUCUGCAAAAAUAUGAUUUUGAAAAUCACCAGUUUCAUGCCUUAUUCCUUUCUCAGAAUUAGACUAUAUUGUCCAACUCCUCUUCACUUACAGUGUCUGAGGGAAUCCUAGAGAAUAGCUGGCAAGAAUCAGCGCUGGGCUGUUGCUUAGAAACUGCCUGGUUUUCUAUAUUAUUGCCUGAUGUAAUAGUUAUAUUGCCCACUUGCAUCUGUUAACAAGCAAUACAACAGAAUCCACAGGUACCAAUAAAGAAAUAAACCUGGCAUUCAUUACUUUGCUUGAAAAUUCAUC
ensembl:lncRNA